UUGUAAAAGUUUGUAUACUGUAUAUAGAUAUAUAUGUACCGUGUAUAUAUAUAUAUAUAUAUAUUAACGAAAGAAGAAAUGAGGCCAGACAUUAUUUCCUUCGCUCUGCUCAUCUCUCAUCGCUCAUCUCUCUCUCAUCUAUCGGUCACAUAAACUCUCGCAAUCUGUAAUCUAAAUCGCACCAAUGAUCCAAAAUAAUCCAUCUAUGGUGUUCUAGUAAGACAGAUCAGGAAAGCAUACACAUAUACAGCUCCGAUUUACCCGCGAUAACACAUCUCUUCCGGUGUAGUUUUCAUUUGAAAUCUUCAUUUUCAGUACCAGAUAAAUGGCUGAGAUAAAAAACUGAGCUGCAAAAAAAAUAAGUUCCUUCCAAGCAUUCUAAAUAGUAUUACACUAAGUUGUGGCUAUUAACUGUUAUGCUAUUUUUAAUCAUACAUACACCAGUUUGUUAAAUAAGAUUAAGAUUACUGCUAUGAUGUUUUGACCAUUACGAAUCUGGGUGUAAAUACUUAAUAUUAACGGGUAAAGCUGGAAAUUGACAUACUAUGUCAAUCUGGCUUUCAUUGCAUUGAAGAUGACAUGUUAAAUUUAUUGUCAGGUGUUGCUGAACUUGAUAGGCCCUCCGGAUUGAGAGUUGCAGAACAUUUCAAGACUUGAAUCAUAAAGUGUAUACCUUUCUCUUGGUAGGCUCUGAUUCUGCCGGCUGUUUCCUCCUCUCUGGUUGGGCUUCUGGCCUGUGGCAUCUCUGCAUCUAAUUCUAAAAGAGAUUUUGUAGUAUUGGUUGUGAUAUGAGAUUUAUUUAUAGUGUUGAUUUAGAUGUAAAUACUGAUUUUGAAUUUUAAAUUCAUCUGUAAUCAAUUAAUGUUAGUCUUGUAGAUUGUAAAAGUAGUUAUUGGAAUUUGUAAGCAUGCUUUGUUUGUUGCAGAAGAUGUGAACACAAUAAAUGCAUUCAUACCUUCUAAUA